rnacentral:tRNA from 1 species
GGCUCGUUGGUCUAGGGGUUUUAUUCUCGCUUUGGGUGCGAGAGGUCCCGGGUUCAAAUCCCGGACGAGCCC